rnacentral:rRNA from 1 species
GACGAACGCUGGCGGCGUGGCUAAGGCAUGCAAGUCGAACGGAUCUAUCCAACGGGUAACUGAAGGGUAGAUUAGUGGCGAACGGGUGAGGAAUACAUGGACAACGUACCCUGGACACGGGGAUAGCGGCGGGCCGCAAGGCUCUUUAGCGAAAGUGCCGGUAAUACCCGAUGAUCCCGCAUGGUCGCAUGAUCGUGGUGGGCAAAGCUCCGACGGUCUGGGAUCGGUUCAUGCCCUAUCAGCUAGUUGGUGAGGUAACGGCUCACCAAGGCGGGCGACGGGUACCGGGCGUGAGAGCGGUGACCCGGCACAUCGGGAACUGAGAUACGGGUCCGGACACCUACGGGUGGCUGCAGCAACGAAUAUUCCGCAAUGGACGAAAGUCUGACGGAGCGACGGCCGCGUGC